UACGGAGGGGGCUAGCGUUGUUCGGAAUUACUGGGCGUAAAGCGCACGUAGGCGGCUUGUUAAGUCAGGGGUGAAAUCCUGGAGCUCAACUCCAGAACUGCCUUUGAUACUGGCGAGCUUGAGUCCGGGAGAGGUGAGUGGAACUGCGAGUGUAGAGGUGAAAUUCGUAGAUAUUCGCAAGAACACCAGUGGCGAAGGCGGCUCACUGGCCCGGUACUGACGCUGAGGUGCGAAAGCGUGGGGAGCAA
rnacentral:rRNA from 1 species